rnacentral:tRNA from 1 species
GGAUGUAGCUCAGUGUUAGAGUGCUUGCCUAGCAUGCAAAAGGUCCUAGGUUCAAUCCCCAGCACCA